AUGCCAGCAUGGCCAUAAAACACUACAUACAAAUCGAAAUCUAAAAAGCGCGGAACUUUCAUAUAUUUUCCGUCGGAGCAAUUAUUUUUCAACCCUGUAGAAAAAGCGGGCUCAAUUAAUCGCGCGGAACCUUAUUUAUCUACUCUGUACAAAUAGUAGUGUUUAAAAUCGCGCGGAGAUUGUAGAAUGCUAUUAAGAAGUCUAUUAAAGAGAGAAAAUCCAGUAAAUACCAGAUCCAAAAAGCGCGGAACACAAAUAUCGUCCGCGAAAAUUAAGCAUUGAAUUACUGUACAAAUCUCGGGUUGUUAGGUGUUAGAAUCCCUAGUUACCCGAAAAAUUUGAUUGGAUCCGAUACUUAGAAAUAACCAAUCAGAUACUUUGUAACAAAUGCAACACAAUCAGUGCGUUCAGUAAGUAUAACGUUUCAAGAUGGCGGAGCGAAUUGCAUGGUUAUUGUUUCUACUCGAUGGAUUCGCAGAUAAUUCGGAAAUAGAUCAGAUUGGGAUCAAUAACUUUAUUGCAUACGAUCAUUUACAUGUAUUACCAGGUGUGUGUUGCCAGUAAUGGUCGAAGAUAUGCCAAACAAAUUGUGCCUCUCUAUACAGACAGAUUUCAGGUCUCAAUUUCGACUUCAAAGGUCUACAUAUCACUGAUAUCAGGAAUUCUGUACAACUGUGGAACCAUGUAUGGUACGUGACCGCACAAUGUUGGUUGGCAAAAGGAUAUUGGAAUAAGCAAAGGGACUCAACAUUACACAGUCAUUUCAACAUGUAGAGUCUUGUCAGCAAUGAUGGAGCAGUACAUCAGAUUUCCAGAAUCUCGUCAUGAACUGAAGAUCAUUGCCUAUGGAUUUCAUGAAUGAUGUAAAAUGAUUGGACUGUUGAUGGAACCCACAGUGCAUGUCCUGCUUCAACAUCUGAGCAUAGGUCCUUGUUUAUCAGCAGUUUAGUUCUUCAAGCAGUCUGUGACAGUAACUUGAAAUGUUUGGACAUAUGACCUGGAUGGCCAAGUUCUGUGCAUGAUGCCCAUUUAAAUAGGAACGGCCCAAUGGCGCAUUAAAUGGACAUUUUUCGAAUGUUCUCGAGGAUUCAGCUUACCGCCUGACAAGAAAUCUUGCUUUUUGUUCCGUAUCGAGGCCAUGGACAUUUGUAUCAUUUGCAAAAGAUACUGCUAUAUUUGUGCCUUUGUUCAUGCUUUAUAGUUGAUUAACAAUUGGAAGCCGUAACCUGUUUUAUAGGAUGGUGUUAGUGGGACAAUGA